UCGUUAAUUUUCCUUUUAAUUUGUGCUGAAUGAAACUUCCCAUUGUCAGGUGCACUGACAUAUAAUUAGCUUGAAAAUACCUGUAACAAAUAUACCUGUAUUCCUCUUUUAUACCAAGUUGAAUAUACUAGUACCUGAUUACUUGGUAAGCAUACUGGCAUAUGUGUGAUGAUGUCAUCACUUCGUAGAUAUUGUGUUGUCUUGAGAUCAGAAUGAAUUAUGAAUGUAGUGUUCAAAGUCUUGUAAAAAGAAAAAAAAUUCACAAAGUGUGCUGAAUAUAUAAAAUAUAUAUAUGUGAGAUUCUUAUACUGGUGCUAAACUUAAAUGUAUGUUAUAUUGUAUUAAUUAAGUAAUAUAUUUCAUUUACCACACCAUAUCUUUGCUGCCGACCAUCAAUAGAUUUGCUUUAUUAUGUUUCUAUUUCUGUGGUAUAUAUACCUGUUUAUGAAACAAGCAAUGUUAAUUUAUUUGUUUUAAACAUGUAUUCUUUUAGCGUUUUACUGUAUUGAUAGCAAGUUUUGAUAAAAGUAAAAAUUCAUGAGUAUACAAUGUAGAAGGUCAUAGGUUAAAAUGAAGAAAAAGAGACUUGCAUGACAUGAGAUAUGAAUACAGCAAUUGAAAUAAACUUUUUAAAUAUCUACAUUUAUUUUUAUGUGAUUUUCAACAGAAUAUAUUUGACAUAUAUUGAUUCUUACAUGUAUAAUUUUAUUUAAGUUUUGAAUUUCUGUACACUGCAGUACAAAUAGAAUUUUUUUCUUACUAUACAUGCAUGCAUGUUAACAUAAUAUAAGAUUUGUAGAGAGUGGAAAUAUUUCAGUUUAUUAAUGAAAACAUUUUUACGUAUGUGUAUUACUAGAAGAUAAACUUCUCUUUAGCUAGUGUGAAUUGGAAUAUUGUAUUCUAUAAUAAAAAAGGUCAACAAU
rnacentral:misc_RNA from 1 species